rnacentral:rRNA from 1 species
GACGAACCGUCCUAACGUUAUUCGGAAUUACUGGGCUUAAAGGGUGCGUAGGCGGCGCGGAAAGUUGGGUGUGAAAUCCCUCGGCUUAACCGAGGAACUGCGCCCAAAACUACCGUGCUUGAGGGAGAUAGAGGUGAGCGGAACUUAGGGUGGAGCGGUGAAAUGCGUUGAUAUCAGGAGGAACACCGGUGGCGAAGGCGGGACUCUGGGCCGAUACUGACGCUGAGGAGCGAAAGCGUGGGGAGCGAACAGG